CCAUAUGUUUUCGAGUCAAGUUCUGCCCCAGUUCCUUCAAACAGAAUAAUAAGAUAUAAUUUUAUUUAUUAACAUCCAAGAACGAGACGGGAGGGAUUUAGAGAUACGAGUCCUGUGCUGCAUGAGAGUGCGGAAAAAUCCUCGUUAUUCGUGGACCAUGCUAUAAAAGACGUAAUUUUCCGUCGGUUUGUGUAACCAACCGGCAC
rnacentral:lncRNA from 1 species